AGGAGCCGUCAGAUUUUUGGCGCGAGGCGUAAAUGUGUCGUUUAUGCUUCCGAUGUAGCCCACAAGAUGGCAGAACCUACUAUGUACAAGGAAACGUACCGGCGAGAAAGGUAGAUGUUUAAGUUUCCGAUUUAGGCCACAAGAUGGCAGAUCCUCCAACGCGCACGGUCCCUGUACUGCAUUAUCAAUGGGGUUGGCCGGUCAAAGUAUUUAGCAGAUGGCGCCAGCAUAGCUUGCCCUGUCAAUCCCUAGAAUUGUGUCAGUUUUUUGUUUUUUUAAUAAAAUUUUAAGGAUCCAGGCCAGCCCUUUAAGUCAAAUCUUAUAGAAAAAGGGGCAAGCUAUGAUGGCGCCAUCUGUGCAAACCUUUGACAGUUGCCAACCCCAUUAUCCCUUUUUCUUGCAAUAUAGAAUUAUUGCAAUUUUGCGCUUAUUGUGAUGGCGUUUUUCCCUACAUGGUAAAAUAUGGCUGAAUUUAUUAUAUUUUAUUUACUUACACAGAUUAUAUUCUAUAUUCUAUCACAGUAUGGUUUUGAAUCCACGCGGUUCGAAAUUACUGCUACUAAUUUGCUUUAACCUUUUCGCCGCCAUUGACUUGAUAUAAAGUCAUUACAUUUCGUGCGCCACACGCCACGACUUGAUAUGUUAUACGGGUUGUCUAUGUGCAAUUACGUGGUACGUGCUUGGGUUGUGCGUGCCUUGGCGUUGAUGACACUUUAUUACUUCAUUGAAGUGGCGGCGAAAAGGUUAAAAUAAAUACAUUUUAAAACUGCCUUUGUAGGGUAAUUCGACCGUAACUGGCCACCCUAAACUAAAAAUGAAUUCUAUUCACCUAUAUACAGAAUUCAUUUUAGUAUAUUAUAAAGUUUCAAUAACUGGCCACCUUAUACUAAAGUGAAUUCUGUUUAUAGGUGAAUAGAAUUCAUUUUAGUUUAGGGUUAUAUAUUCAAUUUGACUAAUCUGACUUAAACGGUACUCCGUUCUAUUUCGCAACUAAUUUGCUGUCUAUUUAUUACGAUUUCUACUUAGGCUAUGAUUUACGUUUAGUCACGCACACACGCGUAUCGGUGCAUAAUGUUUUCUGCUCUAGUUUAGCUUAAUUGUUACGGUUUGUAUUUAAAAACUGACAAAAAAAGAUAUUUUGAGCUGAGCUCUUAUAGUCAUAACUGAGAAUAAAAUGUGACGUCCCACGGGUAAAGGUACCUUACGGCGGUUGGCGCUUACGCUAUUACUAACACCCCUCCAAUACUAUUGCGGUGCUAUGCGACGUAAGCGCCAGCCGCCAUAAGGUACCUUUUGGGAAAUGGUUUCAAAUAAUGUUUUAAAAUUGAUUCUUUGUUAAAUCACUAUUUAAGUUUGUUUUUUGAAGAAGUUUUAGUCGAUAAAUCAGGAUAGAUUUUAUAUUACACAAGUCUUCUCAAAUUAUAUGCGACUUUCCGUCAGAGAAAUUCAACAGAAUUUAUGUUGGAAUUUCAGAUAAAAAGGUCCAUAUUGCACUUGUAGCGUAAGGACCCUUCUGUAUGGAAAGCCACAUUUGAUUGACUUUUUUGAAACCCUUUAUUCUCAGAGUGUGAUAACUGUUUAUACAGAUUUCUGGCAUAAUUUCGAUGUUUGGGUUUGAGAUUUUUUUUAUUAAAUGUUAACUUUAACAACAUAUUUAUAAUUUUAAUAUUUUUGUUGUUAUUCUCACUAAUUUCAACGAUUAGCUAUAAGACAUAUUUUUAAAAUAGCUACAGACUAGAAUAUUGAUCUUAAAAUGUGUACAAUUUAAUAAGAUAUUCAAGCAAUCUGACAAUAUAAAAAUAUCGAGCUAGACUCAUUUAAGUGAUAGUUCAAAAUCGUGUGAAAAUCCCUCUGGUCUCAUUAUUCCUAUUUUGGCCUCUGUUUUAAAAUAGUCAACUAUUACAAAUAUUUCUAUGUAGCCGAUAAGAGAUUGAAAUACCUACUUUACAGUGUCAUUAUAUUAAUGUUCAACUUCUACUCUAUAAAAUAGUUAUUGUUCCAUAAUUCCAAUUCACCACACAUUCCUGACAGACUGCACGUCGUAUGAAAGACUUCAUGAAUAUUUUUGUACUGUGACCGACAAAUUCAUUUACUGCAUUAUUUGUGUUGUAAAUAAAUAAUAUGAAAGUUA